rnacentral:lncRNA from 1 species
AUAAAUACAUAAUCCAUUAUAUCGGAAAUUAGACAUAACUUUGAAAUUAAUAAUACAUAAUUUUUAUAUCGGAAAUUGAAUACCGAAAUAUAAAACAGUUGUAAAGUUAAACAACAUGUUGGAUUUUGAGAAGGGAAUUGGGCAGAAGAGUCUUUUGAUCAAGUUAAACAAGUGGGUUUUUGGAGCUCUGGUUUUUAAAACAAACAGCAGGCUG